CCUACGGGAGGCAGCAGUAGGGAAUAUUGCUCAAUGGGGGAAACCCUGAAGCAGCAACGCCGCGUGGAGGAUGAAGGUUUUCGGAUUGUAAACUCCUUUUGUUAGAGAAGAUAAUGACGGUAUCUAACGAAUAAGCACCGUCUAACUACGUGCCAGCAGCCGCGGUAAUACGGAGGGUGCAAGCGUUACUCGGAAUCACUGGGUGUAAAGCGCGCGUAGGCGGGAUAGCAAGUCAGAUGUGAAAUCCUAUGGCUUAACCAUAGAACUGCAUUUGAAACUGUUAUUCUAGAGUAUGGGAGAGGUAGGUGGAAUUCUUGGUGUAGGGGUAAAAUCCGUAGAGAUCAAGAGGAAUACUCAUUGCGAAGGCGACCUGCUAGAACAUACCUGACGCUGAUGCGCGAAAGCGUGGGGAGCAAACAGGAUUAGAUACCCGUGUAGUC
rnacentral:rRNA from 1 species